AGGCUUGAUAGUUUUUAGGGUCAAUUGAACCUCAAGAGACUAUCAAAAUAAUUCCCAACCAACAAGGACCAUUUGAUUAGAUGCAGUAGUUAGUAUAUUACAAAUGUUUGAGCGCUAUGUAAGAAAUUAAAAGGGUUUGGAAACUAAGAACAACAAAAAUGCAACACAUUUUUCUUUUAUAGGACGCAACAAAAGAUGAAAUUAUAUAUGUAUGUGUGACAUGUAAUAUAUUCCAUUCUAGUCAAGUUAAAAAUAAAAAACAUGAAUCUUACGUGAUGAUCAAAUGGUGAUGCGACUGAUAAUUCAAACAUAAAAUUAAGUUGAGACAUCUUGUGAUAUUGUUUGGGCUGAGUUUAGAAUUGUUCUCGGCCCAGAGGCCGUGUUUAGGUGUCAUUAGGGGUUAUCCAGCUCA
rnacentral:lncRNA from 1 species